UACGUAGGGGGCAAGCGUUGUCCGGAAUCAUUGGGCGUAAAGCGCGUGUAGGCGGCUGGGUAAGUCCGCUCUGAAAGCCCGAGGCUCAACCUCGGAACUGCCUUCGAUACUGCGGGUCUCGAGUCCGGGAGAGGUGAGUGGAAUUCCUAGUGUAGAGGUGAAAUUCGUAGAUAUUAGGAAGAACACCAGUGGCGAAGGCGGCUCACUGGCCCGGUACUGACGCUGAGGCGCGAAAGCGUGGGGAGCAAACAGG
rnacentral:rRNA from 1 species